rnacentral:rRNA from 1 species
AAGUAAUUUAUUUAUUUUGAGUUUUAGUAUUAAUUUAAAAAUAAUUUUUAGAUUUAUAGUUUAAUAGUAUUGUGAAAGAAUUAGUUAAAUUAAAUAAAGAAUUUUUAGUACCUUUUGUAUCAGGGUUGAUUAAAAUUUUUAAUUUUUUUUUGAUUUCUCAAAAUUUAUAGAGUUAAUUUUAUUAUUAAGUUAUUGUUUUAUAAAUAUUUAUUAAAUAAUUUUAGUUUUGAAAUUUAAUUCGUUAUAUUAUAUUUAGUUAUUUAAGAUUUAAAUUUAAUUUAAAAUUUUAAAAGUUGUAUUGAUUUUAUUAAUUGAUAUUUUAAAUUUAAAUUAUUUUAAGGAUAAGCUUGAAAUUUUAAUAUAAUAAUUUUUUUUAUUUUAAUAAUUUAUAGGAAUAGAAAUUUUUAUUUUAAGUUUGUAAAAAUUUAUUAUUUAUUUAAUUUUAAUUUAUUAUAAUUUUAUUUAUUUUUAAUAUUAAAUUUUAUUAAUUAAUAUUUAAUUUUUAGUAAUAAUGAUUAAAUUAGUAUAAUUUUUAUUUAUAAAUUAUGAAUUCGGCAAAGAUUAUUUUCAUCUGUUUAACAAAAACAUUGUAUUAAGUUUAAUUUAAUAUAGGAUCUGCUCAAUGAUUUAUUAAAUAGCUGCAGUAUAUUGACUGUGCAAAGGUAGCAUAAUAAUUAGUCUUUUAAUUGAGGACUUGUAUGAAAGAUUUGAUGAGAAAUAAACUUUAUUAUUUAUAUAGUUAAAAUUUUAUUUUUAAGUAAAAAAGCUUAAAUUUUUUAAAGGGACGAUAAGACCCUAUAAAACUUUAUAAAUAAUAAUUUUAAUUUUUUUGGAUUAAUAGUUAUUUUAUUAUUAUUAUUUAUUUUAUUGGGGUGAUAAAAAAAAUUAAUUAACUUUUUUUAAAAUUUUACAUUAUUUAGUGGAUUUUUGAAUUAAAAUUUUUAAUUAAAGGAAAAAGUUACUUUAGGGAUAACAGCGUAAUUAAUUUUUUAAGUUCAAAUUUGAAAAUUAGUUUGCGACCUCGAUGUUGAAUUAAGAUUAAUCUUAGGUGCAAAAUUUUAAGUAUUAGGUCUGUUCGACC